AGGUGGUGGUCCGGGGUGGCCGGGUGCUGGUGAUGAACCGGAUGACGGUCCGCAAGGACGGCCGCCGGCUCGGCUCCGUCACCACCCU
rnacentral:tRNA from 1 species